ensembl:lncRNA
CAAAGAGCUCCAUAAUGACCCCAUAACUGCCCCAUAGCGACCCCAUAGGGUUCCAUAGAGACCCUAUAACAGCCCCAUAGAGACCUCAUUGGUGCCCAUAGGGACCCCAUAGAGCCCCAUAGGGACCCCAGAGAGUUCUGUAAUGACCCCAUAGAGCCCGAGAGUGACCCCAUAGAGCUCCACGGUGACCCCAUAGAACCCCACAGUGUCCCCAUAGAGCCCCAUAGGGACCCCAUAGAGCCCCAUAGUGACCCCAUAGAGCUCCAUAAUGACCCAAUCACAGCCGCAUAGUGACCCCGUAGAGCCCCAUAGGGACCCCAUAGAGCCCCAUAGUGACCCCGUAGAGCCCCAUAGGGACCCCAUAACAGCCCCAUAGCGACCCCAUAGAGCUCAAAAGGGACCCCAUAUACCUCCAUAGUAACCCCAUAGAGCUCCACGGUGACCCCAUAACAGCCCCAUAGUGACCCCAUAGAGCCCAGAGUGACCCCAUAGAGCCCCACAAUGACCCCAUAGAGCCCCAUAGGGGACUCCAUAGAGCCACAUAGUGACCCCAUAGAGGCCCAUAAUGACCCCAUUAGGGCCCAUAGGGACCCCAUAGAGCCCCAUAGUGACCCCAUAGAGCCCCACAGUGACCCAAUAGAGCCACACAGUGACCCCAUAGAGCCCCAUAGUGACACCAGAACUGCCCCAUAGUGACCCCAUAGAGUUCCAUAGAGACCCCAUUACAGCCCCAUAGUGACCCCAUAGAGCCCCACAGUGACCCCAUAACUGCCCCAUAAUGACCCCAUUAGGGCCCAUAGGGACCCCAUAGAGCCCCAUUGUGACCUCAUUGGGGCCCAUAGUGACCCAAUAGAGCCACACAGUGACCCCAUAGAGCCCCAUAGUGAACAAAUAGAGCCCCAUGGUGACCCCAUAGAGUUCCAUAGAGACCCCAUAACAGUCCCAUAAUGACCUCAUUGGGGCCCAUAGGGACCCCAUCGAGCCCCAUAGUGGCACCAUAGAGCCCCACAGUGACCCCUUAGAGCCCCACAGGGACCCCAGAGAGCUCCACAGUGACCCCAUAACAGCCCCAUAGUGACCUCAUUGGGGCCCAUAGGGACCCCGUAGAGCCCCAUAGGGACCCAAUAACAGCCCUACAGUGACCCCAUAGAGCCCUAUAGUGAUCCCAUCGAGCCCCACAGUGACCCCAUAGAGCCCCAUAGUGACCCCAUAGAGCUCCAUAGUGACCCCAUAGAGCCCCACAGUGUCCCCAUUAAGCCCCAUAGUGACCCCAUAGAGCUCCAUAGAGACGCUAUAACCCCAUAGGGACCCAAUAGAGCUCCAUAGGGACCCCAUAAAGCCCCACAGGGACCCCAUAGAGCCCCAUAGUGACCCCAUAGAGCCCCAUAGUGACCCCAUAGAGCUCCAUAGAGACGCUAUAACAGCCCCAUAGGGACCCCAUAGAGCUCCUUAGUGACCCCAUAGAGCCCCACAGUGUCCCCAUAGAGUCCCAUAGUGACCCCAUAACUUCCCCACAGUGACCCCAUAGAGCCCCAUAGGGACCCCAGAGAGCUCCGUAAUGACCCCAUAGAGCUCCACAGUGACCCCAUAACUGCCCCAUAAUGACCCCAUUAGGGCCCAUAGGGACCCCAUAGAGCCCCAUUGUGACCCCAUAGAGCCCCAUAGGGACCCCAUAGAGCACCCUAGGGACCCCAUAACAGCCCUAUAGCGACCCCAUUGAGCUCCACAAUGACCCCAUAAAGCCCCACAGUGACCCCAUAGAGCCCCAUAGGGACCCCAAAGAGCUCCAUAAUGACCCCAUAACUGCCCCAUAGCGACCCCAUAGGGUUCCAUAGAGACCCUAUAACAGCCCCAUAGAGACCUCAUUGGUGCCCAUAGGGACCCCAUAGAGCCCCAUAGGGACCCCAGAGAGUUCUGUAAUGACCCCAUAGAGCCCGAGAGUGACCCCAUAGAGCUCCACGGUGACCCCAUAGAACCCCACAGUGUCCCCAUAGAGCCCCAUAGGGACCCCAUAGAGCCCCAUAGUGACCCCAUAGAGCUCCAUAAUGACCCAAUCACAGCCGCAUAGUGACCCCGUAGAGCCCCAUAGGGACCCCAUAGAGCCCCAUAGUGACCCCGUAGAGCCCCAUAGGGACCCCAUAACAGCCCCAUAGCGACCCCAUAGAGCUCAAAAGGGACCCCAUAUACCUCCAUAGUAACCCCAUAGAGCUCCACGGUGACCCCAUAACAGCCCCAUAGUGACCCCAUAGAGCCCCAGAGUGACCCCAUAGAGCCCCACAAUGACCCCAUAGAGCCCCAUAGGGACUCCAUAGAGCCACAUAGUGACCCCAUAGAGGCCCAUAAUGACCCCAUUAGGGCCCAUAGGGACCCCAUAGAGCCCCAUAGUGACCCCAUAGAGCCCCACAGUGACCCAAUAGAGCCACACAGUGACCCCAUAGAGCCCCAUAGUGACACCAGAACUGCCCCAUAGUGACCCCAUAGAGUUCCAUAGAGACCCCAUUACAGCCCCAUAGUGACCCCAUAGAGCCCCACAGUGACCCCAUAACUGCCCCAUAAUGACCCCAUUAGGGCCCAUAGGGACCCCAUAGAGCCCCAUUGUGACCUCAUUGGGGCCCAUAGUGACCCAAUAGAGCCACACAGUGACCCCAUAGAGCCCCAUAGUGAAC